ACAGAAGUGAAGGGAAAGAAGAGGGAGUUGUUGUCUACUUUAAAGCACGUAAGGGGGAUGACUGGUGCUCAGCAUUAAUCAGCGUCCAUGGGAAGAAGGAAAAAAUGGAAAAGGAUUCAUGGAAGAAAAAUAUUUGCAACCUACUUUGAAGAACAGAGUUCAGAACCUACAAAGAAGCAGCACCUAUGUGAAGCAUGCAAACAAACCCACUGGAAGAAAUGGUUAUGUGGCAUGGGGAGACAGUCAAAAGAAGAACAACAAAUAAUCAUGCCAAAAAUGAUCAACAAAGGCGAAAAUCCAGUGGACCAAACAGAGCUACAAUUUGUACACCACGUAGAGUUCUAGGAUGACUAUGAGAACCUCAUGAUAGGGGAGUUCCUCAGCUUUCCAAUCUUCCACCUUUACAUUUUGCCGACACAGUUGGAUAAAGAAGCAUUCAGUACUGACUGGAGGAAACAGAAGUAAGUUAGUCUUACGUUAAUUACCUAAACUGAAACAAUGAUCUCACUCUACCACAUGAAUAACUUUCCUCGUCACUCCAAAACUGCAUGGCACUAGAUCCAAAACCAAACAGAUGGGGAGAAUUAGGAGUUAUACCUUGAGUAUUGAGGAAGUAGCUUACCAGAUAAAAGUCCCUGCUCUGAGCGCAUGAGGACCUGCGUUGGGAGACUUGGCAUGCAUGUAAAAGACCAGGCACUGAGUCACACUCCAAAAUCCCAGUGCUAGGGACUGGAAUCCUGCAAAUUCUGCCACCUCACUGCCCAGAAAGACUUAUUAAGAAUUCUGUCUCAAAAAUGCAAGGUGGGAGGGUACUAGAAAAAGACUCCCUAAGUCAACUUCAGGUCUCUACAUAUGAAUAUGCGAGUAAGCAUAUCCUCAUAUGCAUGAAAACAUGCACUGCAUGUGUGCGCAAGCACACACACACAUGCAAGCACUAAUAAUAAUAAUAAUAAAUGUGGAAAAGAGACAGUAUCCAUUGUGAGCCUGCUCAAUGAUGGCCGUCAGAUCCUGACACCCAAGUCUGACUGCUGUAAACACGAAGGUCACUCUAUGAUGAGAGUCUUACCCAGAAGUCAGGCUCUUUGCAAUGCUUCCCCCUUGAAAACGGAUCUGACUGCGAGUAGGAGAAGACAGCCCCUCCACUUCCUGCCAAGGGUUAGCGUACACUUGACCUCGCGUUCUCGGAACACUACCCAGCAGACAGGCACUUCUCUACAAUUUUAUUGAGUUUAUCUUUCUACACGCUAAGAGACCACAAGGAAAAGUGACAGAAAAUGCAUGGGCAGAUCCUCAAGGAACGAGUUGGAGUCAAGCAUUCGUCAAUUCUAUUGUCUCCCAUUUGCUCUCUGGAGUUAGGAACGGCAAUCUCAGGUGCCCUCGUCCAUCAAGUCAUGGCACUGCAAGACCUCCAAACUGUGGGGAGAGUUUUCUAGAUGGCCUGUUUCCCAUUUCCUCAGAGAAGUAAAGGCAGUUCUUCAAAUGUAAAUCAUAAAGGCUGUCAAUUUGGACCACUUUUCUCAGGCUAGUUAUUAGCAGGAACGAAACAACAGAAGCCAGCUUUUAACCUCGCUGUCUUUCCAGAUUCCCAGUGCCUCUCUACACACGUAGCUCGGUGGGCACAGCUCCCAAGCCUCUCUAGCAGUUAACAGUUGCUGCUGUAAAGCAAAGCUGUAAAGGUCUGAACAGGACCAGUCCAAACCACUGGCAUUUUCUCAAUGGGUGUCAAAGCAGCUGCAGUCUCAGUCCCCAAACUUUCAAUCAAACUUUUAAGUCUUUCGAAGACAAGUUCUUCUUGAUAUCAUACUUUACCAACAACCAUUUCUCAUCUAAUUAAUCACCACUGUCUCCUAAGUGACACCAGGCCUGUCUUUGAUCGAGACUCCACACAACUGCUUGAGUGUUAAUUUUAAAAGACAAACCUGAUCUCACUUCUCUU